GUCCACGCCGUAAACGAUGGAUACUAGCUGUUGGAGGUAUCGACCCCUUCAGUAGCGAAGCUAACGCGUUAAGUAUCCCGCCUGUGGAGUACGGUCGCAAGACUAAAACAUAAAGGAAUUGACGGGGACCCGCACAAGCGGUGGAUUGUGUUCUUUAAUUCGAUGAUAAACGACGAACCUUACCAGGGUUUGAAAUCCCAAGAAUUUUGCCGAAAGGCGAGAGUGCUUUAUUGAACUUGGUGACAGCUGUUGCAUGGCCGUCGU
rnacentral:rRNA from 1 species